GAGCAGGAUGAGACGGUUCAUUUUACCAUCAAUCAGGAGGUUUUGCAAAAGCUCAAGAGGAAACAAUCUGCCAUGAAAAGUAUGACACAGAGAAUACUCUCAAAUGAGCAGCAAAUUCUUUUUUUAACCCGCCAAAACCAACAGCUGGCGCAACAACUGACGAAAAAUUUCGAUGAGGUGGCAGAGCUUCAGAAGCUCAUGUCUUAAUUUUUUUUUGUUUUUUUUUGUUUUAAUAAAAAAUGUUAUAUUUUG